rnacentral:misc_RNA from 1 species
GAGGCUUCGGACCGGGUCAUCCAGGCCGGUGAACCGAUCGUCCUCGAUAUCGGCGGGCGUCUCGGCGGGUACUGCUCCGACAUCACGCGCACGCUGUGGGUAACCGGCGGUGAUCCGGCAAAGGGACCAGACGAAGCGUUCCGGCACCUGUUCGCCGUCCUCCAUUCGGCCCAGGCGGCGGCUCGCAGGGCGGUCGCCCCGGGCGUCACCCCUGACCAGGUCGACGCUGCCGCCCGACAGCCAAUCGAUGCCGAAGGCUACGGCGACGCGUUCUUCCACCGGACCGGGCACGGAAUCGGGCUGGAGGGUCACGAAGAGCCGUACAUCAUCGCCGGCAACGCGGAGCCGCUCCGCGAAGGCAUGGCGUUCUCGGUCGAG